GGAUGAGUGGCGGAGUGGCUGAACGCGCGCGAUUCGAAAUCGUGUUUACGGUAACACCGUAACGGGGGUUCAAAUCCCUCCUCAUCCGCCA
rnacentral:tRNA from 1 species